AAUAUUUUCGGCAAUUUUUGUACUCAUGUAAGGUGACAAAGAUAGCAAAUUUGACCGUAUCCACGUCAAUUAUCAUGCAUCUUCAUCAGUGCAAGAAUGGCCUUUUUUGGA
rnacentral:miRNA from 1 species